rnacentral:rRNA from 1 species
UACGGGGGGAGCAAGCGUUGUUCGGAUUUACUGGGCGUAAAGGGCGCGUAGGCGGCCACCGCACGUCGGUUGUGAAAUCUCCGGGCUUAACCCGGAACGGUCAAUCGAUACUGCGGGGCUAGAGUGCAGAAGGGGCAACUGGAAUUCUCGGUGUAGCGGUGAAAUGCGUAGAUAUCGAGAGGAACACCUGCGGCGAAGGCGGGUUGCUGGGCUGACACUGACGCUGAGGCGCGAAAGCUAGGGGAGCGAACGGG